GGACUACACGGGUAUCUAAUCCCGUUCGCUCCCCAUGCUGUCGUGUAUCAGCGUCAGUGUCGAGCCAGGGCACCGCCUUCGCCUCUGGGGUUCCUCCGGAUCUCUACGCAUUUCACCACUACACCCGGAAUUCCAUGCCCCUCUCUCGCACUCCAGAACGCCAGUCUGGCAUAACCCGGGCCGGUUGAGCCGACCGCUUUCAUACACCACUUGGCGUCCCGCCUGCACACCCUUUACGCCCAGUAAAUCCGGAUAACGCUUGCCACCUACGUUUUACCGCGGCGGCUGGCAC
rnacentral:rRNA from 1 species